GGUCGCGUGGCCGAGUGGCUAGGCAAGGGUCUGCAAAACCCCCUACGGUGGUUCGAAUCCACUCGCGACCUCCG
rnacentral:tRNA from 1 species